rnacentral:rRNA from 1 species
GACAGAGGUGCCAAGCGUUUAGGCGGAAUCACUGGGCUUAAAGCGUGUGUAGGCGGGUCGUUAAGUACCUUGUGAAAUCCCCCCGGCUCAACCGGGGAACGGCUGGGUAUACUGGCGAUCUUGAGCGACCUAGGGGCAGUCGGAACAAGUGGUGGAGCGGUGAAAUGCGUAGAUAUCACUUGGAACGCCAAUGGUGAAAACAGACUGCUGGGGGUUCGCUGACGCUGAGACGACGAAAGCCAGGGGAGCAAACGGG